rnacentral:rRNA from 1 species
CGUAGGUAACCUGCCUUGUAGCGGGGGAGUAACUAUUGGAACGAUAGCUAAUACCGCAUAACAAUGGAUGACACAUGUCAUUUAUUUGAAAGGAGCAAUUGCUCCACUACCAAGAUGGACCUGCGUUGUAUUAGCUAGUAGGUGAGGUAAUGGCUCACCUAGGCGACGAUACAUAGCCGACCUGAGAGGGUGAUCGGCCACACUGGGACUGAGACACGGCCCAGACUCCUACGGGAGGCAGCAUG